rnacentral:rRNA from 1 species
AUUGAACGCUGGCGGCAUGCCUUACACAUGCAAGUCGAACGGUAACAGGCCGCAAGGUGCUGACGAGUGGCGAACGGGUGAGUAAUGCAUCGGAACGUGACCAGUCGUGGGGGAUAACUGCUCGAAAGAGCAGCUAAUACCGCAUACGACCUGAGGGUGCAAGCGGGGGACCGUAAGGCCACGCGGGAUUGGAGCGGCCGAUGUCAGAUUAGGUAGUUGGUGGGGGAAAGGCCCACCAAGGCAACGGACUGUAGUUGGCCUGAAGGGACGACCAGCCACACUGGGACUGAGACACGGCCCAGACUCCUACGGGAGGCAGCAGUGGGGAAUUUUGGACAAUGGGCGCAAGCCUGAUCCAGCAAUGCCACGUGCAGGAAGAAGGCCUUCGGGUUGUAAACUGCUUUUGUCAGGGAAGAAAUCCUCUGGGUUAAUACCUCGGGGGGAUGACGGUACCUGAAGAAUAAGCACCGGCUAACUACGUGCCAGCCGCCGCGGUAACAC